GCCUGUUAACAUUUGUGCAUAUUUUAAGUUAAUGCUUAGCACAACUAUAAGCAUAUAAAAUUUCAUUGCACCGCCACUCGGACUGAGCGAAAAAACAAACACAUAUAAAGGGAGCUUCGUUGGAAUAAGUAAACAAUUAUAGUAAUUGUCCGCACAGAAGCUGCGCUUAACUGAUUGCUUUAUUAUUUUUUCAAGUGUCAUAUUUGCCGUUUUAAUUCUGUCAACAAUACGGCUGUAGCAUAAAUAUUAACGAGUAGCCUGACUUAAAGUCAGACAUCCUAUGAAUCUCGACCAUGGUAAUAAUAAUAAUAAGCGUGAAUACAAAAAAUCGGCUUAAUCGCAUGCAAAUAUUAUGGUAAAUAAAUUUGUACACAUCAUCAACACAUUUACUCAUGCGGCGCUGGUAACUUAAUUACACAUGUAAACAAUUGAAUCAGUAAUGCCAUAAAAACCAGGGGAGCCAAUUCGAACGGCACCUGCUGGCCAUUGAAAUCACUUAAACAGUAGAACAGAAAAUAUUCAACUGUUUCAGGCAUUAAUCUUCAAUCAAAUGCCUAUUGUAUAUCCAGUGAGCAGAAAUCGAAGCCAAGGAGUUUAGAGACAGCAAAUCGGUAAUUGGGUCUAAAAUUUCCCCUGGAUGGGAGGAAAACGAAAAUGGCAACCUUUUAAUGCCACUCAGAGCGAAACGAAAUGAUCAGCCAACGAAGUUUUUGUAAUUGCCACUUGUCGUGUCAAGCAGCAGCAUGUAAAUAAAACGAGUGCCAGUGUCAUGUGCCACAUGCUUUUUGCAUAUACUCUACUCUACCAUAUGCACAUAUUACUUGCGCUUUUUCCAGCAUUUCAAGUGCUGCAUGUUCGAAUUUUUUCGUCAGGUGCAAUGACGCAUAAAUUCCAGCAAAGUGGCCCAAUAAAUGCGAGAGGAAGUGGCAAUGUUGCAACAUGAAUGAUCCGAUGCUCGGUUGGCUAUAAAUAAACUCUUUAUAUGUACAUGCAUUAAUAAAUAAAAGAGCGCCGGCCACUAAUCACUGCACUGAUUUAUUUGAAUGGGCUAUGGAAUUUAUGACAAGAUUUGCCAAUGCCACCAGCUCCAAAUCCAUGUCUAAUUUUAAAUAGGAAUGUAUAAUGCCACUGUUCCCCUGACCGCAACAAAUCAACUCAAGUGUAUCGAAAUGAGCUUCGGCUGAUUUGCAGCCCUCUGUCAGACCCUUCUCGCCUUUCCCCGCAGCCUCUUCAGACUCUGGUCUGCCAAAAGCUGUGACAUUUCAUUCGCUGGCAAUUAGAAGUCAAUUUCACGCGCCGCUCUCAAAGCGAAACCAUAAAUUAUGUCCCUUAUUUGACCGCCCGAAUUGGACUUAAGUGUCUUAAGGUAUUACCACCAAACUGGUGUAUAUUUAAAUGAGACAGGGUGCACAAAUUUGUGGAAUGCGUUUAAUACUAUUUAUCAUCCUUUUUCUUUCCAAUAUUCAAAUAUUAUUUUUAUAAAAAAAAUCAUAACCAUAACAUUUAUUUUGAUCGUUGUCAUCACCUGCAUUAUCUUUUAUUGGAUUUAUUUACCCUAAACGAAUGCAAAUAUGGCCUCGUAAUACGAAGUAUAUGAAAAUCAAAUUGCUAGAAUUAAACACAGUGCACAUGUAGAAAUUAAGCAAUCAAUAAGCCUCCAUUAAGCUAUCAAUCGAUUUGAGUUGAACGCUUAAAGAAACACCAUCUGUUGAUUUGUAAAUAUGCAUUUCAUAUGCAAGUGGUGUCUAAAUUCCAGACAAGUCAAUAAGCUGCAAAAGCGCAAAUGCAAAAGCAACAGCAAAUCCUUAAACGAGUCAAGAGUCAAGUGAAAUAAAACGGAAAUCGCAUUCGAUGACUGAGACAUUUGAUGGCCAAGGGAUCAUUUUUCACUCCCUGCAUUAGCUGAAAAGCAUAAUUUAUGAUGGGAAAUUCCUAAGACGAAACAGCAGGCGAUAAAUUUACAGUUUGCAAAACGUUAUUAAUUGCUAAUUACCUCCGAACAUGAUUAAUGCUCUCCUAGCCCUUAGCGAGGCAGCAUAGUCACACAGGGACCAAAUAAAUUACUUUUUAUUAUAAGAUUCUAAAACUUAAAAUUAAUUUUCUAAAAAUUGUUUAUACUGCACUCACUUAUAUAAAAUAUAAGUAAUUGAAGUUUUAAGCUUAUUGUGGAAAACAGAAACUUUUAAUGAAAAAUAGUAAAUAUAUUCGUGUAAUAUAGAAAUAU